GAGUUUGAUCAUGGCUCAGGAUGAACGCUAGCGGCAGGCCUCAUACAUGCAAGUCGAGGGGCAGCAGGACACUUCGGUGUUGCUGGCGACCGGCGCACGGGUGCGUAACACGUAUGCAAUCUGCCUUGUACUGGAGCAUAGCCCUCGGAAACGAAGAUUAAUACUCCAUACAGUCUUACUAGCGCAUGCUAGUAAGAUGAAAGCUCCGGCGGUACAAGAUGAGCAUGCAUCCCAUUAGCUUGUUGGUGAGAUAACAGCUCACCAAGGCUACGAUGGGUAGGGGUUCUGAGAGGAAGAUCCCCCACACUGGCACUGAGAUACGGGCCAGACUCCUACGGGAGGCAGCAGUAGGGAAUAUUGGUCAAUGGGCGCAAGCCUGAACCAGCCAUGCCGCGUGCAGGAUGAAGGCCUUCAGGGUUGUAAACUGCUUUUGUAUGGGAAUAAAAAAGUCCUUGCGAGGACUCUUGAAGGUACCAUAAGAAUAAGCACCGGCUAACUCCGUGCCAGCAGCCGCGGUAAUACGGAGGGUGCAAGCGUUAUCCGGAUUUACUGGGUUUAAAGAGUGCGUAGGCGGCUUCUUAAGUCAGUGGUGAAAGCUUAGCGCUUAACGCUAGAAGUGCCACUGAUACUGGGAAGCUUGAGUCAAGAAGAGGUAAGCAGAAUUCAUAGUGUAGCAGUGAAAUGCUUAGAUACUAUGAGGAAUACCAACAGCGAAGGCAGCUUACUGGUCUUGUACUGACGUUGAGGCACGAAAGCGUGGGUAGCGAACAGGAUUAGAUACCCUGGUAGUCCACGCCGU
rnacentral:rRNA from 1 species